UGCUCUUCUAGCAGGAAUUGAAAAACUUUUUGGACAGAUACUCUUUGAUCCAGAGCUAAUCACUGCUGCAAUUCUACUCCCUACAUACUGGACAAGUGAUGAAUGUGACCUAAAACCUAAGUAAACUUAAGGUUUUGACUAUAUCAAAAGCCACCUGAAACAUCAAAUGGAAGUGCAUAAAAGAAGUGACAAGUCAGCUGGACACCUACCACAACUGCACAAUGGAGUCACCAUUGAUGAGAUUUGGAUGCUGAGUGUUGAUAUCUUCUGCACCUGAUUGACAACUCAUGAGGCAUAUUAUACCUCAAGGUUACCAAAACCGUCCAGAUCCAGCUCCAUUCCAGCUUUUUG